rnacentral:rRNA from 1 species
CCUACGGGAGGCAGCAGUGAGGAAUAUUUGUCAAUGGACGAGAGUCUGAACCAGCCAAGUAGCGUGAAGGAUGACUGCCCUAUGGGUUGUAAACUUCUUUUAUAUGGGAAUAAAAUGUUCCACGUGUGGGAUUUUGUAUGUACCAUAUGAAUAAGGAUCGGCUAACUCCGUGCCAGCAGCCGCGGUAAUACGGAGGAUCCGAGCGUUAUCCGGAUUUAGUGGGUUUAAAGGGAGCGUAGGUGGAUUGUUAAGUCAGUUGUGAAAGUUUGCGGCUCAACCGUAAAAUUGCAGUUGAAACUGGCAGUCUUGAGUACAGUAGAGGUGGGCGGAAUUCGUGGUGGAGCGGUGAAAUGCUUAGAUAUCACGAAGAACUCCGAUUGCGAAGGCAGCUCACUGGACUGCAACUGACACUGAGGCUCGAAAGUGUGGGUAUCAAACAGGAGUAGAUACCCUAGUAGUC